AGUGAACGCUGGCGGUAGGCCUAACACAUGCAAGUCGAACGGCAGCACAGUAAGAGCUUGCUCUUACGGGUGGCGAGUGGCGGACGGGUGAGGAAUACAUCGGAAUCUACUUUUUCGUGGGGGAUAACGUAGGGAAACUUACGCUAAUACCGCAUACGACCUACGGGUGAAAGCAGGGGAUCUUCGGACCUUGCGCGAUUGAAUGAGCCGAUGUCGGAUUAGCUAGUUGGCGGGGUAAAGGCCCACUAAGGCGACGAUCCGUAGCUGGUCUGAGAGGAUGAUCAGCCACACUGGAACUGAGACACGGCCCAGACUCCUACGGGAGGCAGCAGUGGGGAAUAUUGGACAAUGGGCGCAAGCCUGAUCCAGCCAUACCGCGUGGGUGAAGAAGGCCUUCGGGUUGUAAAGCCCUUUUGUUGGGAAAGAAAAGCAGCAGGUUAAUACCCCGCUGUUCUGACGGUACCCAAAGAAUAAGCACCGGCUAACUUCGUG
rnacentral:rRNA from 1 species